rnacentral:rRNA from 1 species
AUGAGGGUAUUCGUGCGUGAAUGGCAGCUCAGGACCAGCCUCAUGAAAAUCUUAUAUUCCCUGAGGAGGUUCUAACACGUGGAAACGAUCUUUAAUGGAACUUUCAUUUUAGCUGGUUGUGACCAAGAAACCACCGGCUUUACUUGGUGUGCUGGGAAUGCUAGACUUAUCAAUUUGUCUGGUAAACUACUUGGAGCUCAUGUAGCCCAUGCCGGAUUAAUCGUAUUCUGGGUCGGAGCAAUGAACCUAUUUGAAGUGGCCCAUUUUGUACCAGAAAAGCCCAUGUAUGAACAGGGGUUGAUUUUACUUCCACACUUAGCUACUCUAGGUGGGGGAGUAGGGACAGAGGGAAGUUCUAGAUACUUUUCCGUACUUUGUAUCUGGCGUACUUCACCUAAUUUCCUUCGCAGUCUUAGGCUUCGGUGGCAUUUAUCACAUGUUUCUGGGACCUGA